AGUCACUGACAUUAGAUACCCGUGUAGUCCAGGGUGUAAACGCUGCAGACUUGGUGUUGGAGGCCCUUUGGGGGCAUUCAGUGCCGGAGAGAAGUUGUUAAGUCUGCUACUUGGGGAGUACGGCCGCAAGGCUGAAACUUAAAGGAAUUGGCGGGGGAGCACCGCAACGGGAGGAGCGUGCGGUUCAAUUGGAUUCAACGCCGGACAACUCACCAGGAGCGACGGUUACAUGAAGGCCAGGCUGAUGACCUUGCCUGAUUUUCCG
rnacentral:rRNA from 1 species